GGGGAUAUAGCUCAGUGGUAGAGCUCCUGCUUUGCACGCAUGAGAUCACGGGUUUGAAUCCCAGUGUCCCCC
rnacentral:tRNA from 1 species